AGAUUAAGUUAUUAAGGGCGCACGGUGGAUGCCUUGGCACUAGAAGCCGAUGAAGGACGUUACUAACGACGAUAUGCUUUGGGGAGCUGUAAGUAAGCUUUGAUCCAGAGAUUUCCGAAUGGGGAAACCCAGCAUGAGUUAUGUCAUGUUAUCGAUAUGUGAAUACAUAGCAUAUCAGAAGGCACACCCGGAGAACUGAAACAUCUUAGUACCCGGAGGAAGAGAAAGAAAAUUCGAUUCCCUUAGUAGCGGCGAGCGAAACGGGAAGAGCCCAAACCAAAAAGCUUGCUUGUUGGGGUUGUAGGACACUCUAUACGGAGUUACAAAGGACGACAUUAGACGAAUCAUCUGGAAAGAUGAAUCAAAGAAGGUAAUAAUCCUGUAGUCGAAAAUGUUGUCUCUCUUGAGUGGAUCCUGAGUACGACGGAGCACGUGAAAUUCCGUCGGAAUCUGGGAGGACCAUCUCCUAAGGCUAAAUACUCUCUAGUGACCGAUAGUGAACCAGUACCGUGAGGGAAAGGUGAAAAGCACCCCGGAAGGGGAGUGAAAUAGAACCUGAAACCGUGUGCUUACAAGUAGUCAGAGCCCGUUAAUGGGUGAUGGCGUGCCUUUUGUAGAAUGA
rnacentral:rRNA from 1 species